rnacentral:rRNA from 1 species
GAUGAACGCUGGCGGCGUGCCUAAUACAUGCAAGUCGAGCGAACGGACGAGAAGCUUGCUUCUCUGAUGUUAGCGGCGGACGGGUGAGUAACACGUGGAUAACCUACUUAUAAGACUGGGAUAACUUCGGGAAACCGGAGCUAAUACCGGAUAAUAUUUUGAACCGCAUGGUUCAAAAGUGAAAGACGGUCUUGCUGUCACUUAUAGAUGGAUCCGCUCUGCAUUAGCUAGUUGGUAAGGUAACGGCUUACCAAGGCAACGAUGCAUAGCCGACCUGAGAGGGUGAUCGGCCACACUGGAACUGAGACACGGUCCAGACUCCUACGGGAGGCAGCAGUAGGGAAUCUUCCGCAAUGGGCGAAAGCCUGACGGAGCAACGCCGCGUGAGUGAUGAAGGUCUUCGGAUCGUAAAACUCUGUUAUUAGGGAAGAACAUAUGUGUAAGUAACUGUGCACAUCUUGACGGUACCUAAUCAGAAAGCCACGGCUAACUACGUG